UGGGACAGUACACCAUACAAAAGAUAACCGAAAACUAAAAUGGACGAUUGUAUAGAUGAAUCUGGUAUAGAUGGGAUUUGGUCGCGCUGUUGAAUCAGUAAACCAUGGACAGAUAAAGGUGUACUGUCUGAUAGCGAUUAUAGAUAUCGUUUUCAGCAAUAAGAUAAGUACUAACACCUGAUAAAGAAGACGAAGACACUUUACUUUCACUUCGAGCAAUACAGUUCUUAUCCAAUUGAGGGAAAUCGACAGUAAAUUGAGCAUAAGAAGAAGCAAGUAUAUACAACUUUUCAGCACGGGUGGAGGAUUGCUUGGCGCAGGUGCUAAAGGACCGACGAGCAUCGCACGAAACCAUUCCGACCUUUCAGCCAGUUGUUCCCUUUCUACGCAGUACCUCCACGUGUCUCCAGAUUUUUCUUCCUUCAGUUUUAUACAACUCAGACUGGAAAAGUUAACAAACUUAUGAUGUGGCGAAAUACCGGAAACAGAAUCCCCAGGUCACUGGAUUAAAACUUCACACACAGAGAUAUUCCACUCUAACGAUAAGUGUGUACUAUGUCAGACAAAUGGAUGUCCAGAAUAGUGACCAUAAAAAGUACUAGUAUAAUGCU